CCUACGGGGGGCAGCAGUGGGGAAUAUUGCACAAUGGGGGAAACCCUGAUGCAGCGACGCCGCGUGAGUGAAGAAGUAUUUCUGUAUGUAAAGCUCUAUCAGCAGGAACGAGACAAGACGGUACCUGACUAAGAAGCCCCGGCUAACUACGUGCCAGCAGCCGCGGUAAUACGUAGGGGGCAAGCGUUAUCCGGAAUCACUGGGUGUAAAGGGAGCGUAGACGGCUGAGCAAGCCUGAAGUGAAAGGCGGGGGCCCAACCCCUGGACUGCUUUGGGAACUGUACGGCUGGAGUGCAGGAGAGGUAAGUGGAAUUCCUAGUGUAGCGGUGAAAUGCGUAGAUAUUAGGAGGAACACCAGUGGCGAAGGCGGCUUACUGGACUGUAACUGACGUUGAGGCUCGAAAGCGUGGGGAGCAAACAGGAUUAGAUACCCGGGUAGUC
rnacentral:rRNA from 1 species